rnacentral:rRNA from 1 species
UACGGAGGGUGCAAGCGUUAUCCGGAUUCACUGGGUUUAAAGGGUGCGUAGGUGGCCAACUAAGUCAGACGUGAAAUCCCUCGGCUUAACCGGGGAACUGCGUCUGAUACUGGAUGGCUUGAGUUUGGGAGAGGGAUGCGGAAUUCCAGGUGUAGCGGUGAAAUGCGUAGAUAUCUGGAGGAACACCGGUGGCGAAGGCGGCAUCCUGGACCGGUAUUGACGCUGAGGCGCGAAAGCGUGGGGAGCGAACAGG